GGACCCGGCAGCGCCCGCAACGGGCCUUCCCAUUGGCUCUUCCGCCUCCCACCAGAAUUCGAGUGAUUGGUUCAAGAAUAGGAGUGACAGAAGCAGCUACCAAUGAUAGUGGUGAGUUCUGCCUUGGAGGCGGGGCGGUGGGAGAGUGAGGAGGGGGCUGAACGCGCGGGGCGGGGCGUGAGAGUUGACAGCCUUAGAGGUGAGAGAGGGACUUUGAUUGGGCUGCCCUGGGAAAGUGGGUCCCCGAGUGUCUGCGCGCGCCCCGACACCCACAGACACAGACGGGCGCACGCCUCCGUAGGCGGGUUGGGAGGACUCCACCCGCCAGCGGCCGAUUGUACAACUUGAGACUGAGGCAAACUUGACUUUGAGGUUUGGACACUGUUACAUUGACACUGCUGAGCAGCAACAAUGGAGGAGAGAGUUAGGAAGCUACUACAGGAAUCCAGGGACGAGAGAAAUGGUUGCUUAGACCUGGAUGACAGUGAAAGAGGGAAGAAGUGAUGGAUUCUGGAUGGUAUAGAAUUUGCUGAUCAAUUGGAUGUAGGUAUGAGAGACAAGAGGAGCCAGCAUAACUCCAAAGAUUCAGCAUGAGCAACUGGAUAUAUUUUCAAUAUUUGCAUUUUACAGGAAAGAUAUUUAUAAAGAUGUGGAGAGAUGAAAAUGCUCCCUCGAUUCAAUUCCCUUUUCCAUGAAGACACAUGCUGGAACACCAAGUAUAAACCCUUGACACCAUGUGAAGAAUGGACCAGGAAGGCAAAAGUCAGGAGGAAGAAAGAUCUCCGGAAGCUCUGUCACAAAUCAGAUGAGGGAUGAUAAGGGCUCAUCGCUGGCCCUGGCAUAGCAGAGGUAAAGGAAAGGACAAACAAGAGAUUCUGACAGGACUCGGUGAAUAAUUAAAUGUCAGGGAAAAGAUGAGUCGUGCAUGACUGGAGCCUCUAAAUCUACCUGACCGUGGAUUCCCAGAGGGUGGAUACGGCAUGUUUUUCUACCGUUUUAUUAGGGCCAGUGUCAAUAAAAUUAACAUAUACCUGUUUGUCGUACUAUUUUCCACCAGUGAAAAGUAUGCAAUAUUGUUCUUAAAAAUCUUUAAAAUAAAAAUAAUCA